UACGAAGGGGGCUAGCGUUGCUCGGAAUCACUGGGCGUAAAGCGCACGUAGGCGGCUUUCUAAGUCAGGGGUGAAAUCCUGGAGCUCAACUCCAGAACUGCCUUUGAUACUGGAGAGCUUGAGUCCGGAAGAGGUGAGUGGAACUCCGAGUGUAGAGGUGAAAUUCGUAGAUAUUCGGACGAACACCAGUGGCGAAGGCGGCUCACUGGUCCGGUACUGACGCUGAGGUGCGAAAGCGUGGGGAGCAAACAGG
rnacentral:rRNA from 1 species